rnacentral:rRNA from 1 species
UACGUAGGGGGCAAGCGUUGUCCGGAUUUAUUGGGCGUAAAGAGCGUGUAGGCGGCCAGGUAGGUCCGUUGUGAAAACUGGAGGCUUAACCUCCAGCUGUCGAUGGAAACCAUCUGGCUAGAGUCCGGAAGAGGAGAGUGGAAUUCCUGGUGUAGCGGUGAAAUGCGCAGAUAUCAGGAAGAACACCCGUGGCGAAGGCGGCUCUCUGGGACGGUACUG